rnacentral:piRNA from 1 species
UCAAGCACGGCAUGAUUUAUA